rnacentral:rRNA from 1 species
ACGAACGCUGGCGGCGUGCCUAAUACAUGCAAGUCGAGCGGAAUGAUGAAGAGGCUUGCUUCUUCUGAUUUUAGCGGCGGACGGGUGAGUAACACGUGGGCAACCUACCUUGUAGAUUGGGAUAACUCCGGGAAACCGGGGCUAAUACCGAAUAAUCCAUUUUGCUUCAUGGCGAGAUGUUGAAAGACGGUUUCGGCUGUCACUACAAGAUGGGCCCGCGGCGCAUCAGCUAGUUGGUAGGGUAAUGGCCUACCAAGGCGACGAUGCGUAGCCGACCUGAGAGGGUGAUCGGCCACACUGGGACUGAGACACGGCCCAGACUCCUACGGGAGGCAGCAGUAGGGAAUCUUCCACAAUGGACGAAAGUCUGAUGGAGCAACGCCGCGUGAGUGAAGAAGGUUUUCGGAUCGUAAAACUCUGUUGUAAGGGAAGAACACGUACGAGAGUAACUGCUCGUACCUUGACGGUACCUUAUUAGAAAGCCACGGCUAACUACGUG